AAGUUUAUUCUCAACUACCACUAAUUCUACCAAACAGCAUUCAGACUUCCGAAUCACGGAAUCCAGCUAUCUGUCCUGCCUUCAACGCAAUGCAAUCUGGCCACGAUCACCGUCGGAUCACAACGCAACUAUCGCCGAUGGCUCUGACACCUGUAAUAAACACUCGCAACAAAUCAACCGCGGUAUACGUGCGUCUAACCACGCACGCACGCACGCAUACCGCGUCCAAUGUAUUUGCUCAUUCA
rnacentral:lncRNA from 1 species